rnacentral:misc_RNA from 1 species
AACGCACAUUGCGCCCUUUGGUAUUCCUUAGGGCAUGCCUGUUCGAGCGUCAUUUGAACCCUCAAGCUAUGCUUGGUGUUGGGCGCCUGUCCCGCCUCUGGCGCGGACUCGCCUUGAAGAUAUUGGCGGUUGGUGCAUCGGCCGGAAGCGCAGCAAAGACGCGCCUUUCCUGCUCUUGUGCCUCCUUCCAGGAAGCCAUAUUUAUAUCUUGACCUCGGAUCAGGUAGGGAUACCCGCUGAACUUAA